GGCCAAGUUUUUAAGGGCGCACGGUGGAUGCCUUGGCACCAGGAACCGAUGAAGGACGUGGGAGGCCACGAUAGGCCCCGGGGAGUCGUCAACCAGGCUUUGAUCCGGGGGUGUCCGAAUGGGGAAACCCGGCAGUCGUCAUGGGCUGUCACCCUUGCCUGAACACAUAGGGCAAGUGGAGGGAACGCGGGGAAGUGAAACAUCUCAGUACCCGCAGGAAGAGAAAACAACCGUGAUUCCGGGAGUAGUGGCGAGCGAAACUGGAUGAGGCUAAACCGUAUACGUGUGAGACCCGGCAGGGGUUGCGUAUGCGGGGUUGUGGGAUCUCUCUUCUGUUGUCUGCCGGCAGCAGGACGAGUCAGAAACCGUUGAUGUAGGCGAAGGACAUGCGAAAGGUCCGGCGUAGAGGGUAAGACCCCCGUAGUCGAAACGUCAGCGGCUCGUUUGAGAGACACCCAAGUAGCACGGGGCCCGAGAAAUCCCGUGUGAAUCUGGCGGGACCACCCGCUAAGCCUAAAUAUUCCCUGGUGACCGAUAGCGGAUAGUACCGUGAGGGAAUGGUGAAAAGUACCCCGGGAGGGGAGUGAAAUAGUACCUGAAACCGUGUGCCUACAAGCCGUGGGAGCGUCGGAUGGAAGCUUGCUUCCAUCUCGUGACUGCGUGCCUUUUGAAGAAUGAGCCUGCGAGUUUGCGGUGUGUUGCGAGGUUAACCCGGGUGGGGUAGCCGUAGCGAAAGCGAGUCCGAAUAGGGCGAUUUCAGUAGCACGCUCAAGACCCGAAGCGGAGUGAUCUAGCCAUGGGCAGGUUGAAGCGGAGGUAAGACUUCGUGGAGGACCGAACCCACCAGGGUUGAAAACCUGGGGGAUGACCUGUGGUUAGGGGUGAAAGGCCAAUCAAACUCCGUGAUAGCUGGUUCUCCCCGAAAUGCAUUUAGGUGCAGCGUCGUGUGUUUCUUGCCGGAGGUAGAGCACUGGAUAGGCGAUGGGCCCUACCGGGUUACUGACCUUAGCCAAACUCCGAAUGCCGGUAAGUGAGAGCGCGGCAGUGAGACUGUGGGGGAUAAGCUCCAUGGUCGAGAGGGAAACAGCCCAGAGCAUCGACUAAGGCCCCUAAGCGUACGCUAAGUGGGAAAGGAUGUGGAGUCGCAGAGACAACCAGGAGGUUGGCUUAGAAGCAGCCACCCUUGAAAGAGUGCGUAAUAGCUCACUGGUCUAGUGAUUCCGCGCCGACAAUGUAGCGGGGCUCAAGCGUACCGCCGAAGUCGUGUCAUUCACACAAUAGGGCCAACGCCUGUGUGGAUGGGUAGGGGAGCGUCGUGUGCCGGGUGAAGCAGCCGUGGAAGCGAGUUGUGGACGGUUCACGAGUGAGAAUGCAGGCAUGAGUAGCGAUACAAACGUGAGAAACGUUUGCGCCGAUUGACUAAGGGUUCCUGGGUCAAGCUGAUCUGCCCAGGGUAAGUCGGGACCUAAGGCGAGGCCGACAGGCGUAGUCGAUGGAUAACCGGUUGAUAUUCCGGUACCCGCUGUGAAGCGUCAAACAUCGAGCCCACUAAUGCUAAGGCCGUGAAGCCGUCGUGUGCGUCUUCGGACAAUCACGGAGUGGUGGAGCCGCCGAACCAAGGUGGUAGUAGGUGAGUGAUGGGGUGACGCAGGAAGGUAGUCCAUCCCGGGCGGUGGUUGUCCCGGGGUAAGGGUGUAGGCCGGACGGUAGGUAAAUCCGCCGUUCAUUAAGGCUGAGACCUGAUGCCGAGCCGAUUGUGGUGAAGUGGAUGAUCCUAUGCUGUCGAGAAAAGCCUCUAGCGAGUUUCAUGGCGGCCCGUACCCUAAACCGACUCAGGUGGUCAGGUAGAGAAUACCGAGGCGUUCGGGUGAACUAUGGUUAAGGAACUCGGCAAAAUGCCCCCGUAACUUCGGGAGAAGGGGGGCCACAUCCGGUGA
rnacentral:rRNA from 1 species